CCUACGGGAGGCAGCAGUAGGGAAUAUUGCUCAAUGGGGGAAACCCUGAAGCAGCAACGCCGCGUGGAGGAUGAAGGUUUUCGGAUUGUAAACUCCUUUUGUCAGAGAAGAUAAUGACGGUAUCUAACGAAUAAGCACCGGCAAACUCCGUGCCAGCAGCCGCGGUAAUACGGGGGAUGCGCGCGUUAUCCGGAUUUAUUGGGGUUAAGGGGUGCGUAGGGGGAUUUUUAAGUCACCGGUAAACUGUCGGGGCUCAACCCGGGCCGGCCGUUGAAACUGGGGGUCUUGAGUGGGCGAGAAGUAUGCGGAAUGCGUGGUGUAGCGGUGAAAUGCAUAGAGAUCACGCAGAACACCGAUUGCGAAGGCAGCAUACCGGCGGCCGACUGACGCUGAGGCACGAAAGCGUGGGGAUCGAACAGGAUUAGAUACCCGAGUAGUC
rnacentral:rRNA from 1 species